rnacentral:lncRNA from 1 species
UUUAUUUGUCCUCUACUGGAAGUGAGCAAAGGGAGGCUGUGUUCAAUCAGAAGUGUUCAGCACAUUCCAAUUGGUCUUAAUGUGGAUAAGUGCAAGAUAAUGCAUCUUGGACGUAAAAAAACCCAAGGGCAGAGUACAGAAUAUUUGAUAGAGUCCUAACCUCAACAUAUGAGGAAAGGGCUUUAGGGGUGAUUAUUUCUGAUGACUUAAAGGUAGGCAGACAAUGUAAUAGAGCAGCAGGAAAUGCUAGCAGAAUGCUUGGUUGUAUAGGGCGAGGUAUUAGCAGUAGAAAGAGGGAAGUGCUCAUGCCAUUGUACCGAACACUGGUGAGACCUCACUUGGAGUAUUGUACACAGUACUGGAGACCGUAUCUUCAGAAGGAUAUUGAUACCUUAGAGAGAGUUCAGAGAAGGGCUACUAAACUGGUUCAUGGAUUGGAGGAUAAAACUUACCAGGAAAGGUUAAAGGAUCUUAACAUGUAUAGCUUGGAGGAAAGACGAGACAGGGGGGAUAUGAUAGAAACAUUUAAAUAUAUAAAGGGAAUCAACACAGUAAAGGAGGAAUCUAUAUUUAAAAGAAGAAAAACUACCACAACAAGAGGACAUAGUCUUAAAUUAGAGGGUCAAAGGUUUAAAAAUAAUAUCAGGAAGUAUUACUUUACUGAGAGGGUAGUGGAUGCAUGGAAUAGCCUUCCAGCUGAAGUGGUAGAGGUUAACACAGUAAAAGAGUUUAAGCAUGCGUGGGAUAGGCAUAAGGCUAUCCUAACUAUAAGAUAAGGCUAGGGACUAAUGAAAGUAUUUAGAAAAUGGUGCAGACUAGAUGGGCCGAAUGGUUCUUAUCUGCUGUCACAUUCGAUGUUUCUAUGUUUCUAUAGUCAUUAUAGGACAAUAUAUCUAAUGACUUUUGUCAUUGAGCAAACAAUCCAAACUGAUUUUAAUUAUUUCCCCGGAGGCUCAGAUUUACAAAGGCUCCAAUUUCUGUAGUAUGUAUGGUCCUCACACAUUUGGGAACCAGUAAUCUUUGGGAAUAUAAGCUAGCUACAAAAAAGCAAAACUAGAUGGAAGUGGGAUCAUAAGGCAUGUAUGGAAGUGCCCAUAAAGUUCCACUCUUUUUGUGUUUUACAAACAUAGAUUACCAGCACCUCUAGCCAUUUUAAGCACAAUUUAAUAUAUACCAUAUAUAUGCCGACGUCAGCUCCCGCGUGGAGUCGAAUUCGCAUGCACGGCCAGAGGAGCGCGCGCAUUUAAACCCGCCCAUAGCAAAGCAUUACUCAAUGCUUUCCUAUGGGGAUCUUAUUUGACGCUGGACUCAGUGAUGACGUCCAGCGUCAUUUCAGUGCGAUUUACUCACUGAGAAUCGUGGAAGCCGCCUCUAGUGACUGUCAGGGAGACAGCCACUAGAGGCUGGAUUAACCCUGCAAUGCAAACAUAGUAGUUUCUCUGAAACUGCUAUGUUUUAAGCUGCAGGGUUAAAACUAGGGGGACCUGGCACGCAGACCACAUCAUUGAGUCAAAAUUAACAUUGCACCAGGGGACUUCAGAUACUAUAACCACUUUAUUGAAAUUAAGCAGUUACAAAACCUACAGUUUCCUUUAAAAUAUUGGAUAAAUAUCAUGUGUAUAUCAUUUUGUGUGCAAUUAGAAAUAAAAACAGAGACCACAUUUUGCAAUAUUCACAAUACUUCACAGACAAUGUGACUUUAUUCACACUUUCUUUACAGAGGUAGAACAAAAUACUUUGUAUAUUUGUUUAAUAUAUAUAUACACACACAUGAAGAUUCUAAAAUUAUCUGGAAAUUAAAGAGGACACAAAGAAAUCUCAACAGAUUGUGAUUGUGAUGUGUAACAAUACAGUGAUCAUGCCCACACACUUACAGAGUAUGUUUUUUUUAUUUUGCUGGUGUAACACUAGGUAUUAAGAUUUUAAAUCUGAUAUGUUUAAAAGAAGACUAGAGAGUAAAGACUUAGUUCAUAAGACAUUUUUCCUAACAUACUACAAUAUCUAAAACAUAAGUAUUUUCUUCUCAGUUGAAACAUUCUGGGUCAUUCUAGGUGUGAAUUGCUGUGAAAAUCCAGUGAAUUAAAUUUUUAGGCCAACUUCACUGAAAUUAAAACAACGGACUUGAAGAUUUUUUACAAUUAAUUUAUUUUGGUCUAAAAUUUCAACAUCUUGAACUCCCAACAACCUAGACUUUAACCCGGUUUGUAUUUUUCAACUGCCAUGACGAUCAGGAAAACAGUAACUAUUUAAACCUAUAAAAAAAUUAAAAAAAUCGGAGUAAUUUCCAUUUACAAGAAGUUUGCCACAACCGCAAAUGUUCAGACAAAACAAAACUGCAGAAAAUACAAAAGUUUAAAAAAAAAUGAUAUUAAUAAUGACACAUUGGAAAAUAGUACCCGUGUGGUGAGUUCAAGAACAUUCCCACCAUUUCCACGCAUUGACUGGGAAAAGGAUAUAGGGGUACUGCACUUGGUGGAAAAAUGUGCAAUAGACAUUUUAUUUCUUGCAGUUUUCAACAUAACCACUAGGGGCAAAUACAAUUAAAUGCAGCAUUAUAUGAUGGUUGCGAUAAUUACUAAAGAAUUAUGUGACCCAUGUAAAUAAACAGAAGUAAGACAAAAAGAACAUUUGCAAAGUAAAACUUUGAAACAUUUUAUACAUUCCAUUAGUUUUGAGUCACAUUUAAACUUUUUGCUGUCGCCUGUUUUAUCCAACACUAACAGGAUUAUUUACUAAAGUGAGAAUUAUUGGGAAUUCAAAGUGAAAUUAAUAUGAAUUUCAAAUUUAAAGCCAAAGUUGCUGAACUGGAAAAAAUCUUCAAAUCAGUUAUGCUUUAACUUGGCUUUAGAGUGGCUCUACCACUGUCUUUGCAUAUUUUGCAAAGACCCCCCUCCCCACAAUGAUGACUGCUCUGCUUGGUGUCUGGUGUUUUUUUGGGUGCAGAGAAAAGUAAGUUUUACUUACGUGAAUCAGUCCAUGGUAGCGGCUGUCUUGGUCUCCACCGGCUCCAAGAGCUUCAUCUGCCAGGAGACCACAUUAGUGUUCUACUCUGGUCCAAGUACAGCACUGAUGUCUAUGGAGGAUCCCACAAGACUGCCGGAAACCUCAAUAGACAAUGCCUUUUUACUUAGACUAGUGACAGCUGGGGGAAAUAACAAAACGGGACAUCGGCAGCUCCGCCUUUUGUCAAGCGUAGGGAAUAUACUAAAACAAAGUAAUCCCUAACUUGUCUCAGUAGAUCUUUGACUACAUUGAAAUUUCAACACCGUCCAUGUGAAUAUUUCACAAAUGCUUUAUCUUUAUGAAAGAGCCAUUUUAAAUGUGAAAUUCACCUUGAAUUAAUUUUGAAUUCCAGACAAUACUCCCUUCAGUAAAUUACCAUGAAAAAAAACCACACACACACAGACACUCACUCUCUCUGACAAACUGGAAUAAUCACGGACUGAAACAUUUUCAAUUUCAGCUGUUUUUGCCUUUCAAUUUGAAAGUCACGUUGAAUUCUUACUUUAGUGAAUAACUGCGACACUGUCUAAGUUAAUACAUUCAGCAUCUGAUAGAAAUAUGAUUCUCAUGUUAUUGACCUGGGAAGGAUAAAUGGUUGUUAGCCCUGUGGCUAUUGAGCCAGUGAAGCACCAAAGUGGCUAGGUAGUGUUUAUAAUGACAGAUGAAACAGAACUUCCUGGAUUUCCUAAUUAUUCUUGGGGGGAAAUAUUAACCUUUAGUUUUUUAAGGGAUGUCCCAUGCUUAUCACAUUAUAAUGCAUUGACUUGUUGCAACAAGUAAUAUGGACGAAAUAUAAAAUAUAUAUAAAAUUCGCAGUGUUAUCAGAAAAAAGGGCUAUCAGGGCUGAAGCCCAACACACCAUGGACUGUAGUGUAGCCUUAUACGGAAUUAAUUAGCAUUCAUUGAAAUACAUUUUGCUCAUGAAUGUACAUUUCCAUUCAUGGUGGCAGUGUAGUGAUGUCCCGAACUGUUCGCCGAACGGUUCGCAAACGGUUCGCCACAGUUCGCCACGAACUCCAGUCAGCAGACACAUUCCAGCCAAUCAGCAGCAGACCCUCCCUCCCAGACCCAUCCACCUCAUGGACAGCAUCCAUUUUGAAGCUGCAUUCUCAGUGAGCUGUCCAGGAGGUGGGAGGAUCUGGGAGGGAGGGUCUGCUGCUGAUUGGCUGGAGUGUGUCUGCUGACUGGAGUUCAUGGCGAACCGUUCGCGGUGAACCGUGGCGAACCAUUCGGCGAACAGUUCGGGACAUCACUAUGGCAGUGUUAUUCAAUUAUAUUUCAAUUAAUAAUAUUGCCAGUGUAUAUGUAAAGUGCAUCUCAUUAAGCAGGAUUUCACGUAGGGCAUUGAAGGUUAUGGAUAUUUGCCUCAGAGAACAACAAAAAGUGGAGCUAGAUGGAAAAUUUAGUUUUUAUUUUUAAGCAACUGGAAACACACAUACUUGCUCAGUUAAGUUAUAGUAGAAAUGUCAUGUCAAUACUUGGGUUAAAAGCAAGUCCCAUCCCUGAAAUUUAAGGGAGUGCAAUCGGGUCCUUAAAAUUCAGGGAGUGCAAUCCCUCACACUGUAACAGUUUGUGGAUAUAAUUAAAGUGUGGAGACUGUGGUUUACAGAAAUGAGUUUAGAAACCCCUGUAGUGAAUUUUUUCCUUUACAUUUUGCUUUAGGAGCUUGCGUUAAAUUCUAUUUUUACAAUUUUACUUCUUGCAGUUUACAAACCAACAACUAAAUUGUGAACGUCAACUUAUAUUGGAACUAGAUGUAACAAAAACAUUACUUUCAUGCUUUCGAGGUUCAACAGUACCUGUCUUAGGAAGAAUAAAGUCACCCAAACGUAAGCAUGAUGUCUUAAAAAAAUCACCAUGGGUAAUGUUGCAAUCUAACCUUGUAUAAGUACCCGUUCAAUCAUGCACUCUGAAAACCAAUGGACUGAGAAAGAUGGUGGUCUUAAUGGAUAGAAGGCCAAAUGAUGUCAUGAGAAGUACUAUGUUUUUUUUAUUCUACUGUUUUUGUUUGUUUUUUUAAACAAAAAUGAAGCAUCAAUUUUGUUCAAAUUUCUUUUCAAACAAAAGCACAUGCACUCACACAAUGGAAGCUUUCCGUGAAAUGCAAGUAAAGAAUAGGCCUUGGUCCAACAGUAUAUUAUUGAAGUAUAGUGAUGUCCCGAACGGUUCGCCGAACGGUUCGCCGAACGGUUCGCGAACGUUUCACCACGAACGGUUCACCACGGACUCAUCAUUGAGUAAACUUUGACCCUGUACCUCACAGUCAGCAGACACAUUCCAGCCAAUCAGCAGCAGACCCUCCCUCCCAGACCUUCCCACCUCCUGGACAGCUCACUAAGAAUGCAGCUUCAAAAUGGAUGCUGUCCAGGAGGUGGGAGGGUCUGGGAGGGAGGGUCUGCUGCUGAUUGGCUGGAAUGUGUCUGCUGACUGUGAGGUACAGGGUCAAAGUUUACUCAAUGAUGAGUCCGUGGCGAACCAUCAGUGGCGAACCGUUCGGGACAUCACUAUUGAAGUACAUAAGUUAGAAGUGGAACGUGAUGAAAUUCUGUGCUGGUGGCAGAGUAAAAUGUAUAUAGCAUGAGUCCAAUAAUAUCAUGAAUUGUUUCUUUAACCAUUUGUCUUAUAGUCCACCUGCUUCAGAUGUCCUAGAUAUGUCUUCUUCAUGUGACCUCUACUGGAAGUGAGCAAACAGAGGCUGUGCUCAAUCAGAAUUGUUGAGCACAUUCCAAAUGGUCAUUAUAGGACAAUAUAUCUAAUGACUUUUGUCACUGAGCAAACAAUCCAAACUGAUUUUAUUUAUUUCCCCGGAGGCUCAGAUUUACAAAGGCUCCAAUUUCUGUAGUAUGUGUGAUCCUCACACAUUUGGGAACCAGUAAUCUUUGGGAAUAUAAGAUAGCUAUCAUCUUAAAUGAGAGGAUUUACGUUACAAAAAAGCAAUACUAGAUGGAAGUUGGAUCAUAAGGCAUGCAUGUGCCCAUAAAAUUCCACUUUUUUUGUGUUUUACAAACAUAGAUUACCAGCACCUCUAGCCAUUUUAAGCACAGUUUAAUAUAUACCAUGCUCCAAAACCUACAUGCAGCAUUUCUAAUGUAGCUGUACACCUUCUGUGGUUCAUUGUAAAUUUAUUUUGCUGAUAAUUUUGGAGUUCCGCAAUCAGGGUGUUGUUAGAACACACAAUAUUAAUAAUAUUAAUCAAGACAAAAGGAUUCUAUCCGGGGCAAAGUGAAUGAGAGCAAGAACAAAUGAUGGAGCUCCAGAUAGUUUUUUUCGAAAGAUUUGGAAAAGGACCGUUCAGUUAUCCUCUUGAUGGUUUGUGGUGCAUACAUUAGAUGUCUUCUGCAAAUGUUUCAGUGUUGAUGCUUUAUUAAAAAAAUGUCAUGACAUAUGGCCGAGUUUAAUCGAAAUAUCAUAUCUCAUUAUCUGUGCUGUAAGAAGGAGACAAAAGUUUCUUUUUGCUCACACACAACUCUCAUACAUCCCACGGUUUAGUAAAUUAGCUCAAGACUAUGCUGCUAGAAAUACCAAAAACCUUAAAAAGGAAGGGAGCUAUCAGGAUGAAAACACGGCAUGAGCGGUUUCGAAGAAAUUGUUCAAUGGUAAAAACUUUUGACCACUUUAGAAGGAUAAAAAUAAAUAAAUAAAUAAAAUUAAAAAUGAUAUAUAUAUAAAUAAAAGUACAUGAAAAUAUACAGCACAUGUUGAACCUAGAGCAAAAACAAAAAAUAUUUCCAUAUUAAACUGGCUUUUAGAAUGCUGCUUACUUCCUCUCCAGCGAUGGCGAACUAUUUUUACCAGUGCAGAACUGGGUGGUUUGAUAUGUUCCCUCUUCGUAAGGGGCAUCAGAUUUUCUUGAUAAAAGCUUGAUCACCCCAACACACUUUUGUUGUGUUCCUUCAGCCUUGUCAAAGUCAUAAAUAAUGAACAAUCGUCAUGGAAACAAACAGAAUGUAUCUAGAUAUUUAGCGUCCGAGAAUAAUACAUCUUUUGCCUUGACAAAUCCGGAAUGUAAUGUGUGUUUGACUGGUCUUAUUCCUUAACUAUGAGAGGUCAGAUGAAAGGUGCAAUUAGAGAUCCUGUCUAUAAUUACAUUAUGUUUUCAGAGUUGUCUGUUUGAAUAUUUACAUGUAUAUUUGUGUAAAGACAGAUAAGACUGACUCUUAUUUAUACAAGAUGAUAUAGGUUUAUAGGAAAAACUGAAACACAAAGAAAAAUAGAUUUUUAUGCAAUAUUACAACACAGAAUCUUGUUUUAAUCUACUCGCUGUUAAAAUGAGAGGAUCACUAAUGUCACUUUAAAAAAUUUUACUUCAAGACUCAAUUAAAACUGCAGUGCUCAUGUUUAUUUGUAUUCCCACGAUAUCAACACGAUUCGAGAAAAAAAAAAUCAAUUAACAUAACAUUUUGGUUCAUCUGUUAAAAAGGAGGUAUGGUUCAAUGCGGAAAUCAAAUCGUAACAUCUUAAAUCUGUUUGGUCCAAUGCUGGCAGUGUUGUAUAGUGAAUAAGGGAGUGUAUUUCUGAUAAAUAGUUACAAUUCAUGGAGGAGGGGGCAUGUACUAAUUCAUCGCAAAAAAAAUAGAAAUAGUUAAUAAACGUACAAAAAGAGCCACAAAAUAGAGCUCCUUUUACUUGGGGUAGAUCUUUUCCAUAAAUACAGGAUACAUAUCUAUAGCUAUCUCUUUUUGUCACAAACUACAUAAUCAGCGAGAACUUUAAUCACUAGAAGUACAAUUCUAUUUUCAAUAUUUGGAAUUUUCCUGUUAAAAAAGUAAAAUGUAAAAAAAAAAAAAAAGAAGGGAUUAUUAUACACAUUUUUUGUGUGUGCAUGUAAUUUUUGUACUUAUUUCCUUUUGUUGUGUUAUGUACAUGCCUUCCUUAGCGUUUUAUAAUUGUGCUUUCUGAGAUAAAUUUCCAGAGAUCAAUUUAAGUGAUUAAAAGGGACUCACAUUGCCUGAUGGCAGUACAAUAGCCACUAGCAGGAAAUAGGAGAGUUUGCCUUUUAUUUAAACACUAUGCACUAAUCACAGAUUCACCAAAUGGAGUUUGAGAAUGUCCAUGCAUCGUACUCCACACUGUUGAGAUUACCCUGCCUACAUUCAUUGUAAGAGGUGACAGAAUGCCAAUUGUAAAUUAAAAUAAAAAUAAAAUAAAAA